UACGAAGGGAGCUAGCGUUGUUCGGAAUCACUGGGCGUAAAGCGCACGUAGGCGGAUUUGUAAGUCAGGGGUGAAAUCCCGGGGCUCAACCUCGGAACUGCCUUUGAUACUGCAAAUCUCGAGUCCGAUAGAGGUGGGUGGAAUUCCUAGUGUAGAGGUGAAAUUCGUAGAUAUUAGGAAGAACACCGGUGGCGAAGGCGGCCCACUGGAUCGGUACUGACGCUGAGGCGCGAAAGCGUGGGGAGCAAACAGG
rnacentral:rRNA from 1 species